CCCGGGUCUGGCCGGGGAGAAAGUGAAUGAUUUCCUCCUCCUCCUCCUCACAGCUACUCUGCCCCUGCAAGAACAUAAGAAAAUGAAUAAGAUCAACCCUACAACGAGCCUUUUUGGAACAAUGUAUUCUAGCAAUCUGCUUCAACUCGGGGCAUAAAUAUCAGGAGGAAGGACAACACAGCAAGCAGCUUUGCAGCUCAGAAGAAAUAUCAAGUGUAACCCAGGCAAUUCAGGGCAACUUUUUUGUUCCAAUCCCUUCAUUUGAGCAGGAGCAGCGGCACCCCCGUCCCCCGAUGCUCCCGCGGCCGGGCGCGCUCCCCCCGCCGGACAACAAAGGCCGGGCCGGGGCGCGGGGGAAACUUCCCGGCACCUGCCCCCCGCCGCUCCCCGCCG